GAUGAACGCUGGCGGCGUGCCUAACACAUGCAAGUCGAGCGAUUUACUUCGGUAAAGAGCGGCGGGCGGGUGAGUAACGCGUGGGUAACCUGCCCUGUACACACGGAUAACAUACCGAAAGGUAUGCUAAUACGAGAUAAUAUACUUUUAUCGCAUGGUAGAAGUAACAAAGCUCCGGCGGUACAGGAUGGACCCGCGUCUGAUUAGCUAGCCGGUAAGGUAACGGCUUACCAAGGCGACGAUCAGUAGCCGAACUGAGAGGGUGAACGGCCACAUUGGAACUGAGGCACGGUCCCAACUCCUACGGGAGGCAGCAGUGGGGAAUAUUGCACAAUGGGCGAAAGCCUGAUGCAGCAACGCCGCGUGAGCGAUGAAGGCCUUCGGGUCGUAAAGCUCUGUCCUCAAGGAAGAUAAUGACGGUACUUGAGGAGGAAGCCCCGGCUAACUACGUGCCAGCAGCCGCAGUAACAC
rnacentral:rRNA from 1 species